GCAGAGUUUCAUUUAGUGUAGCAUGAGUAGUUUAAUUCAUGCGGCAGCAUUACAAAUAAAACCUGUAAAACCAACCCAUUUCUAAAUAUUCGCAAUUCCUUUCGUAAGACUCAUCAAAAUGUCAAUCACCUCAAUUGAAAUUCCUCAAAACACAAAAACCUUUCAAUUCAUCCAAUAAAGUUGCCACAAGCCAACAAUAAAUGAAAAAGAAAAAAUCGUUGUCACUUUCUUGUUCUUUUAUUCCUUUUUUAACAUCUAACGGAAUACGAUAACACCUUAGAAACAAUAGCCAAUUCGCCGAUAUUAUCGCUCGACUCGUAAAAUAAACCGAAAACAACACCGAUAUUCAAACCAACUUCACCGAAUCGACGAUUACAACCGCGUUGUUUUGCCAUCAUCAUACAUAGCUUGUCGUUUUCGUGACUUUCGGUUCGCCGCAAAGAUAAGACGACGGUUAGGUAGUAUUACGAUUGUAGUUUAUCUCCGUCAGUUAGAUUCGUAUAACUCAACAGAGAAGGCGAUUUUGUAUUAAUACGGUUAAGUUGUCUCAAUAAAUUACAAGUUUGUGUAUUAAUUUUUAGUUACAAAAGUGUUAAACAUUACGAUUUAUACAUCUGAAGCGUUUAAUAGAAGAAGAAUUUCUUAGCCUCGGUUUUUAUGGAAAACAUCAAAAUGUUUAAGAAAAUGGAAAAUAGGGGUUUUCAAAGGGAUGCAGAAACCGGUGUGGAAUUAAAAGAAAGCUUUUCGAUGGAGAAGAAACCUUCGAACGGUGUUACAACGGAUGCGAUGGUUCAACCAUCAACUUCUUGCAAACCGGAAGUAUGUCAAGCGGCGAGAAUGAGGUUUUCGCUCCCAGAAAUGGCAACGGGAAGCCCAUGGCAUCGAAACAAGACAAUAUUUUUGGUCACCUUUCUUGUAGCUUUAGGAAUCUGGAUCGUAAUUUAUGUUACGCUCAGUCAACUCAAACUAUUGUGAUGUAACACAAAAAACAUAGUUGUUGAGAAUAAGAAGUGAAAGUUUUUAUUAUUAUUAAUAUACUCGAAACGUGAGAUUUUAAGAUUUUAUUAUAAAUAAUUGUAUUUUAGAUUUUAUUUUUUAUGUAUUUAUUACGUUUAUUAAGAAAGAUUUUAUC